GCUACAGGCGUCGAGCGGCGGACGGGUGAGUAAUACUUAGGAAUCUACCUAGUAGUGGGGGAUAGCACGGGGAAACUCGUAUUAAUACCGCAUACGACCUACGGGAGAAAGGGGGCAGUUUACUGCUCUCGCUAUUAGAUGAGCCUAAGUCGGAUUAGCUAGAUGGUGGGGUAAAGGCCUACCAUGGCGACGAUCUGUAGCUGGUCUGAGAGGAUGAUCAGCCACACCGGGACUGAGACACGGCCCGGACUCCUACGGGAGGCAGCAGUGGGGAAUAUUGGACAAUGGGGGAAACCCUGAUCCAGCCAUGCCGCGUGUGUGAAGAAGGCCUUUUGGUUGUAAAGCACUUUAAGCAGUGAAGAAGACUCUUCGGUUAAUACCCGGAGACGAUGACAUUAGCUGCAGAAUAAGCACCGGCUAACUCUGUGCCAGCAGCCGCGGUAAUACAGAGGGUGCAAGCGUUAAUCGGAAUUACUGGGCGUAAAGCGAGCGUAGGUGGCUUGAUAAGUCAGAUGUGAAAUCCCCGGGCUUAACCUGGGAACUGCAUCUGAAACUGUUAGGCUAGAGUAGGUGAGAGGGAAGUAGAAUUUCAGGUGUAGCGGUGAAAUGCGUAGAGAUCUGAAGGAAUACCGAUGGCGAAGGCAGCUUCCUGGCAUCAUACUGACACUGAGGCUCGAAAGCGUGGGUAGCAAACAGGAUUAGAUACCCUGGUAGUCCACGCCGUAAACGAUGUCUACUAGUCGUUGGGUCCCUUGAGGACUUAGUGACGCAGCUAACGCAAUAAGUAGACCGCCUGGGGAGUACGGCCGCAAGGUUAAAACUCAAAUGAAUUGACGGGGGCCCGCACAAGCGGUGGAGCAUGUGGUUUAAUUCGAUGCAACGCGA
rnacentral:rRNA from 1 species